GACGAACGCUGGCGGCGUGCUUAACACAUGCAAGUCGAACGGUAAGGCCCUUCGGGGUACACGAGUGGCGAACGGGUGAGUAACACGUGGGUGAUCUGCCCUGCACUUCGGGAUAAGCCUGGGAAACUGGGUCUAAUACCGGAUAGGACCACUGCCUGCAUGGGUGGUGGUGGAAAGCUUUUGCGGUGUGGGAUGGGCCCGCGGCCUAUCAGCUUGUUGGUGGGGUGAUGGCCUACCAAGGCGACGGCGGGUAGCCGGCCUGAGAGGGUGACCGGCUACACUGGGACUGAGAUACGGCCCAGACUCCUACGGGAGGCAGCAGUGGGGAAUAUUGCUCAAUGGGCGCAAGCCUGAUGCAGCGACGCCGCGUGAGGGAUGACGGCCUUCGGGUUGUAAACCUCUUUCAGCACCGACGAAGCGCAAGUGACGGUAGGUGCAGAAGAAGGACCGGCCAACUACGUGCCAGCCGCCGCGGUAA
rnacentral:rRNA from 1 species